GCCGGGCGUGGUGGCGGACACCUGUAGUCCCAGCUACUCGGGAGGCUGAGGCAGGAGAAUGGCGUGAACCCGGGAAGCGGAGCUUGAAGUGAGCCGAGGUCGUGCCACUGCACUCCAGCCUGGGAGACAGACCGAGACUCCGUCUCAAAAAAAAAAAUUACAACCACUAACCUUUUUUUUUUUUUUUUUUGUAGACAGAGUCUCGCUCUGCCGCCCAGGCUGGAGUGCAGUGGUUGGAUUUCAGCUCACUGCAAGCUCCGCCUCCCGGGUUUACUCCAUUCUCCUGCCUCAG
rnacentral:SRP_RNA from 1 species